rnacentral:rRNA from 1 species
GUGUCAGCAGCCGCGGUAAUACGUAGGUGGCGAGCGUUAUCCGGAAUCAUUGGGCGUAAAGAGGGAGCAGGCGGUCAUGCAGGGCUGAGGUGAAAGCCCGAAGCUAAACUUCGGCGAGCCUUGGAAACCGAAUGACUGGAGUGCGGUAGAGGAACGUGGAAUUCCAUGUGUAGCGGUGAAGUGCGUAGAUAUAUGGAGGAACACCAGUGGCGAAGGCGACGUUCUGGGCCGCAACUGACGCUCAGUCCCGAAAGCGUGGGGAGCAAAUAGGAUUAGAAACC